GCCAUAGCUCAGUGGUACAGCAUCUGCUUGGCAUGCAGAAGAUCCCAAAUUCAAUAAAUGGGAUCUGAUUAGGUAUCAGCU
rnacentral:tRNA from 1 species